rnacentral:rRNA from 1 species
CACGUAGGCACCAAGCGUUGUCCGGAUUUACUGGGCGUAAAGGGCUCGUAGGCGGCCAACUAAGUCAGACGUGAAAUCCCUCGGCUUAACCGGGGAACUGCGUCUGAUACUGGAUGGCUUGAGAUUGGGAGAGGGAUGCGGAAUUCCAGGUGUAGCGGUGAAAUGCGUAGAUAUCUGGAGGAACACCGGUGGCGAAGGCGGCAUCCUGGACCAACACUGACGCUGAGGCGCGACAGCGUGGGGAGCAAACAGG